rnacentral:rRNA from 1 species
UACGAAGGGAGCUAGCGUUGUUCGGAAUCACUGGGCGUAAAGCGCACGUAGGCGGACGUGUCAGUCAGGGGUGAAAUCCCGGAGCUCAACUUCGGAACUGCCUUUGAUACAGCACGUCUUGAGUCCGGAAGAGGUGGGUGGAAUUCCUAGUGUAGAGGUGAAAUUCGUAGAUAUUAGGAAGAACACCGGUGGCGAAGGCGGCCCACUGGUCCGGUACUGACGCUGAGGUGCGAAAGCGUGGGGAUCAAACAGG